rnacentral:pre_miRNA from 1 species
UAAAUAAAAAUUUGUAUUGAGUUGGAACGUUCACCUGCGUUUGCCGCUAGGGGCGCUGUUCUAACUGCAUACAUAUUUGAGUUA